rnacentral:misc_RNA from 1 species
AAGUCGUAACAAGGUUUCCGUAGGUGAACCUGCGGAAGGAUCAUUAACACGAAUUUAUUAUCCAAUAUCAAAACCAAACGUGAACCUAUCUUCUCCCUACAUUUAUUAUCUCUUGAUUUAAAGAGAUAUUGAUGUAGGCUAACAUUCAUAUAUCUUAAUAUUUUAACCCCUUUAACUUUAACUAGUUUUCAGCAUUCAUCAAUAUGAUACUUGAAGACAACUAACUAAAAGAAAAACUACAAGGUUAUUCGGAAAGAGCAACUCUUGUAAUUUUCGUUUCGAUCUACGAAAAACUACAAUGAACAACUCUUAACAAUGGAUAUCUUGGUUCUC